GAUGAACGCUGGCGGCGUGCCUAAUACAUGCAAGUAGAACGCUGAAGGAGGAGCUUGCUUCUCUGGAUGAGUUGCGAACGGGUGAGUAACGCGUAGGUAACCUGCCUGGUAGCGGGGGAUAACUAUUGGAAACGAUAGCUAAUACCGCAUAAUAUUGACUAUUGCAUGAUAGUCAGUUGAAAGGUGCAACUGUACCACUACCAGAUGGACCUGCGUUGUAUUAGCUAGUAGGUGGGGUAACGGCUCACAACGGCAACGAAGCAUAGCCGACCGGAGAGGGGGAUCGGCCACACGGGAACUGAGACACGGCCCAGACUCUUAGGGGGGGCACAGGUAGGGAAUCUUGCGAAUGGACGGAAAGCUUGACGGGGCACCGCGGGGGGGGUGAGGAAGGUCUCCGGACGUAAAAAUCUGUUGAAAAGGGAAGAAGAGAGGUGGAAUUAAAAGCGCACACUGUGACGGUAUCUAAUCAGAAAGCGACGGCUAACUACGUG
rnacentral:rRNA from 1 species